GAUGAACGCUGGCGGCGUGCCUAAUACAUGCAAGUCGAGCGAACAGACGAGGAGCUUGCUCCUCUGACGUUAGCGGCGGACGGGUGAGUAACACGUGGAUAACCUACCUAUAAGACUGGGAUAACUUCGGGAAACCGGAGCUAAUACCGGAUAAUAUAUUGAACCGCAUGGUUCAAUAGUGAAAGACGGUUUUGCUGUCACUUAUAGCUGGAUCCGCGCCGCAUUAGCUAGUUGGUAAGGUAACGGCUUACCAAGGCAACGAUGCGUAGCCGACCUGAGAGGGUGAUCGGCGACACUGGAACUGAGCCACGGUCCAGACUCCUACGGGAGGCAGCAGUAGGGAAUCUUCCGCAAUGGGCGAAAGCUUGACGGAGCAACGCCGCGUGAGUGAUGAAGGUCUUCGGAUCGUAAAACUCUGUUAUUAGGGAAGAACAAAUGUGUAAGUAACUAUGCACGUCUUGACGGUACCUAAUCAGAAAGCCACGGCUAACUACGUG
rnacentral:rRNA from 1 species